rnacentral:misc_RNA from 1 species
CUUGUACACACCGCCCGUCACACCACGAGAGUUUGUAACACCCGAAGUCGGUGAGGUAACCUUUACGGAGCCAGCCGCCGAAGGUGGGACAGAUGAUUGGGGUGAAGUCGUAACAAGGUAGCCGUAUCGGAAGGUGCGGCUGGAUCACCUCCUUUCUAAGGGGAAAAGCGUAGGGCGCUCGUUCAUCGGCGUACGGAUUUCGAAGUCUUCGACUGAGAUAAAGGAAACACGAUGAGCCUUAAAGGCGAAUCGAUGCCCGCUUAUCGUAGGGAGAAGACGUAGAAAUACGCUAGCCGAUAGCGCCCGGAGCUAGACAUAAAAGGAAAACCUUCGGUUUUCCGAAAUUAAGUUUGGCGUUUCCGUUUUGUUCAGUUUUGAAGGUCCAAUCCUUCAGUAUGUGUUCUUUGAAAACCGGAUAGGAGAAAUAAACCAAGUAAACCGAGAAUCGCUUAUUUUUGGAUUUAAACCUUUUAUGGUUAAGUUAGAAAGGGCGCACGGCGGAUGCCUUGGCACUAGGAGCCGAUGAAGGACGGUACAAACACCGAUAUGCUCCGGGGAGCUGUACGUAAGCUUUGAUCCGGAGAUUUCCGAAUGGGGAAACCCCCUGUCUUUAAUCGGACAGGAUUCCUGCCUGAAUCCAUAGGGCAGGAAGGGCACACCCGGGGGAACUGAAACAUCUAAGUACC